ensembl:lncRNA
UGUUCUAAUCAAAGCUUAGGGGAAAAUGUGAUUACUGAAUUUAAAGUUGGUUAUUAAAUGCGUAUACAGAAGAAAUAUAAAUUAAAAGCAAUAAUGUUUUAAGACUAGAAACUAAAACAUUAGUAUUGUAGUCUAUUUUCAAGGACAUUCUAUAAUCUAAAAUUUCAUUUUACAGUGUCUGAAUAACAACAAAGCUUGAAAUGAUGAUUUGAAGGCAAUGAAAGAUCAAAAAACUUGAGUCUGAAUAAAAAUUGAAAGCAUACAGUGAAGUCUGAGCUUAUCACAAACAGAACAGUCUAUUGACAUAUCUCCAGUCACCUGUUUAACAAAAUACACUUACCAGUAUGUUUGUGAUAAAGGUAUAACUAAAAAAUACUUUUAACCUUGGGUUUUCUGUUACAGGGGUUAGAAUUUGUAUCUUUAAACAUUACCUAUGUGCACAGUGCCUUCCCUGUUAAAGCUCUUCUCAUGCUGCCUGUGACUAGGGGUUUAUAUGAUAUUUUCUAAAUAGGAUGUACAUUCUAAGAAUAAAAGGAACAGAUUUUACUUACAUUUGCAUUAAUAUUUUUUGUUCCUUGCAUAUGUUCUGGAAUUCAAUUAAUCUUUAAUCCAUCAAUCAAUGCAUGUGUUAUUAGCAUAGUUUAGUAUUAUGCUUGUCCAGCAUAAAACACAGAAAUUCACAUACCCAGAGAGAGGGGGGAAUAGAGUUGGAGAUAGUGGAGAAGAUCAACAGUUUUUUUUUUUUUUUUGCUGAUCCUACUAUUUCUGCCAUUAGAUGAACUUCUUCAGGUUUUCUGCUUCUAGAAACUCCUAAGUAAACACCAUUUGAUUAGCUUGAUGGGAUCAAACGAACAAAAACAACAACAACAGAAACAAAAAACAGAGAGCAAGUUGGAGAAGGAAGCAGGAAAGGAGUUCCCUUGGAGGCAGAUAUGCUGUGCUGAGGGGAAGAGGAAGAAGCAAACGUGGGACCAGUUUCAGGCUUUUAAACCCAAUAUGUUCUGGCCUCUUGGCUUGUUUCCCUUUUUCCAUUCUCAAUAAUUCUCACUGCUCUCAAUAGGAUAAUCACUUUUCUUUGAGUGUGUGUGAUUUUUUUUUAAAAAAAUACUUGAUUACUUGUAAUAGACUGUGGAGGUAUUUAGUUUUUGACUGACAGAUAAUUAUAAUGAUGCAUCAGAUUCAAGCAGUCCCUCAAACAUGGUUCUUCACAGUUAAAUUCUUUAUACAUUUAAGAAAAAGAGAGCAAAAGAGAACAUUCAGAAAUGAAACUUUCUGGAAGACAGCUUACAGAUUUGUAUCUGCCUAUAAAGUUCAAAAGAAUCUUUCCAGCACACUAAAUCACAAUGUAUUUAUUGAACAAUAGACAGGACUGAAAAUACAGUUAUUCACUAAUUUUCUUACUACUAAGUAGAUAUGUACAAGUUAGAGAAGAUACAUGCAGAGUUAAGGAAAAGAUAGAUUUGAUAAUUUAUAAAAAAGACAAAACCCCAACAUAUAUAAAAAAUGAUGUCUGACACUGAGAUUCUUCUGAAAAUAGCUUAUUUUAUUAAAUUUCAAGAAAGUAAGCCUAUUCUAAAGAGUAACAGAUUUAUAACCUUUUAAGCAAUAACUCUUUCUCAAUGAAAAAUAUCUGUAAAUUUAGAAAAAAGAUUAUA